GUGCCAGCAGCCGCGGUAAUACGGAGGGUCCGAGCGUUAAUCGGAAUUACUGGGCGUAAAGCGUGCGCAGGCGGUUUGUUAAGCCAGAUGUGAAAUCCCCGGGCUCAACCUGGGAAUUGCAUUUGGAACUGGCGAACUAGAGUCUUGUAGAGGGGGGUAGAAUUCCAGGUGUAGCGGUGAAAUGCGUAGAGAUCUGGAGGAAUACCGGUGGCGAAGGCGGCCCCCUGGACAAAGACUGACGCUCAUGCACGAAAGCGUGGGGAGCAAACAGGAUUAGAUACCCUGGUAGUCC
rnacentral:rRNA from 1 species